rnacentral:rRNA from 1 species
UACGAAGGGGCUAGCGUUGCUCGGAAUCAUCUGGGCGUAAAGCGCACGUAGGCGGAUCUUUAAGUCAGGGUGAAUCCUGGAAGCUCAACUCCAGAACUGCCUUUGAUACUGGGGAUCUCGAGUCCGGAAGAGGUGGAGUGGAACUCCGAGUGUAGAGGUGAAAUGCGCAGAUAUCAGGAGGAACACCGGUGGCGAAGGCGGGUCUCUGGGCAACAACUGACGCUGGAGGCUACGAAGGCUAGGGGAGCAAA